GCAGCGAGUGUUUUCUUGUACAUACAUCCUUGCGGAAGUGUUUGGGUAUAUACCUACGGUAGAGUUCCUUGGUUAUGUGGUACCAGCAUCUUCACCUACCAACUCUGUCCAAAUGGUUACCCCAAGUGUUUGUAUGACCCUGUCAGUAUGUGCGAGGGUUUUUUACUCCACAUUUCCUCCCAAACUUUUUUUUUUUUUUUUUUGACAGAGUCUGGCUCUGUCGCCCAGGCUAAAGUGCAGUGGUGUAUUCGCGGCUCACUGCAACCUCCGCCUGCUGGGUUCAAGCGAUUCUCCCGCCUCAGCCUCCCGAGUAGCUGGAAUUACAGGUGCAUGCCACCACGCCCAGCAAAUUUUUUUAUUUUAGUAGAGAUGAGGUUUCACCAUGUUGUCCAGGCUGGUCUCGAACUCCUGACCUCAAGUGAUCCGCCCACCUCGGCCUCCCAAAGUGCUGGGAUUACAGGCGUGAGUCACUGUGCCCAGCCUCCCUGGAAACUUCAUUGUGUUCAAUUUAAGUUUUUCCUUUCUCCUAGGUAUAAAAGAGAACCUCAUCAUUUUCAUUUGCAUUUCCUUGAUUACCGAUGAGGUUGAUUUUCUUGGUCUUUUGUUCCUUCUUCUGUCAAAUGCUUAUUUAAAUUUUCCCCAAUUUUUCUACUGGAGUUUUUGGCCCUUAUUAUAUAGACAUAUAUGGAUUAUUAUAUAUACAUAUAUUAUGUAUUAGUUAUGUGGUAUAUAUCUUAUAUAUAUAUGAUAUAUAUCAUAUAUAUACAUAUAUGAUAUAUAUCAUAUAUAUGGUAUGUAUGUAUGUAUAAUUUUUUUAAAGAUUUUUUUUUUUUUUUAAUAGAGACGAGGUCUCACUAUGUUGGCCAGGUUGGUCUCGAAUUCCUGGCCGCAAGCCGUUCUCCAGUCUGGGCCUCCCAAAGUGCUAGGAUUACAGGAACAGAAUUGCCAUUGGGCCCAGGGAGAGACUACACUUCUUGUCUGCUUUGUUGCUAGUGCGGCCUUGUGGCCAAGCACAGAACGUGUGCAGUGAUGAUGGUGCAACUUCUAGGUCGUCCCCAGCAUGGAAAAUGAGCCCUGGGCAUGGAAGAUGAGCCCUGGUCCUGCAGCGGUGCUCUUUCCUCUUCUCACAAGCUGGAAUGUGCAUGUGCUCCCACCCAGCUUUGACCAUGGGGCGAAAACAGUACUCUGCAGUCUGGCAGAGCAACAAGGUGGAAAGGGCCUGGGUCCUUGAGUGACGUCAUGAGCCCUCUCACUGUCCCGACUUUGGGACUGUUAUAUGAUAAGGACUUUCUGUGAGUCACUGUCUUUUAGAGUCUCUCUGUUUUAGCUGCCUGGACUUUAUCCUGAAUAAUAUGGCUGUUAUCAUGGGUAUAGUGUUACUAUGAGCCUCAUCUAAGUAAUUUCUACUCUGCCUUUGACCACUAAACUCAUGUUGGACAAGAGUCACUUAGCAUUAUUUUUUCCUCAAUGAAGAGGUUAAGAUGGAGGGAGCAGGAGAAAUUGAGGCCUGUGUUUUACCAGAAGGUGAAGGGCUGUCUUUGCCUUUCCUACAUUUAUGAAGGAUAAUUCUAGACAAAAACAUUAAGUUCAUAUCAAACCAUCUGCUUUGUGAAGCCAUGGGCUUUGCUAGAACUUUCUGUGACAUGACAUUUAUUAACCCGAGUCUACCUGGAAGUUAGAGCUGAGGAAGUUUUCCUAGAGUGGAAAAAGUCCAAUGCACUUGUAAAAGUCAGACCAAGCUCAGCUCAGAUUUCAGUUUUAUUAGAAGUAUGUCACCUUCCUGAGCCCUUAUUAUUUCCCCAUCUGUGAAAUGAGGACACCGUUCUCUCUUUCUAAGCAUUGCUGGGAAGACCACACACCACUGAGACAGAAGGUGGGGCUAGCGCAGUUCUGGGCAUUUUGUACACCCCCAACAAAUACUGAUUUAUUUCCUUCUUUUUCCUUGCUCAGAAAAAAUUGGAGAAGGCUUUAUUUUAAAAUUCUGCCUGAAUUACUUUAUUUUAUUUAUUUAUUUAUUUAUUUUUUGGAGAC
ensembl:lncRNA NUP50-DT NUP50 divergent transcript